rnacentral:rRNA from 1 species
UGGAUGACCUGCCCUUCAGCGGGGAAUAACCCGGGGAAACUCGGGCUAAUACCGCAUACGACCGAGAGGUGAAAGGGGCCGCAAGGCUCUCACUGAAGGAGGGGUCCGCGUUCGAUUAGCUAGUUGGUAGGGUAAUGGCCUACCAAGGCGACGAUCGAUAGCCGGCCUGAGAGGGUGAUCGGCCACACUGGAACUGAGACACGGCCCAGACUCCUACGGGAGGCAG